rnacentral:rRNA from 1 species
GAUGAACGCUGGCGGCGUGCCUAACACAUGCAAGUCGAACGAAGCACUUUAGCUUGAUUCUUCGGAUGAAGGCUAUUGUGACUGAGUGGCGGACGGGUGAGUAACGCGUGGGUAACCUGCCUCAUACGGGGGGAUAACAGUUAGAAAUGACGGCUCAUACCGCAUAAGACCACGGAGUUGCAUGACUCAGUGGGAAAAACUCCGGUGGUAUGAGAUGGGCCCGCGUCUGGUUAGGUAGUUGGUGGGGUAACGGCCUACCAAGCCGACGAUCAGUAGCCGACCUGAGAGGGUGACCGGCCACAUUGGGACUGAGACACGGCCCAAACUCCUACGGGAGGCAGCAGUGGGGAAUAUUGCACAAUGGGGGAAACCCUGAUGCAGCGACGCCGCGUGAGCGAAGAAGUAUUUCGGUAUGUAAAGCUCUAUCAGCAGGGAAGAAAAUGACGGUACCUGACUAAGAAGCACCGGCUAAAUACGUGCCAGCCGCCGCCGUAACAC